UCACAUCAAAUGAAAUGGAGAGAGUACGACUAUUAUAUGGUACACAUGCAUAGAGUGUGUGUUGACAAAGACAAAAUUAAAGUUAUUUUGCAUGUAUGAAAAAUGAUUUUUUGUGGAAGAUAUUAUUUUUCAGCUUUUUUUUUUGUUAUUAUGCUGUCAAAGUUGAACCUAAACUUGUGCUCGAGAGAUUGUUAUCCAUAUAAUAUUUGAUAAAGGAUGUAUGGAUUCUCGAGAAGAAAAAAAAACAUGAUGGUUCCUAUGAACUAGAAGGAUCUCACUAAUAGCGUAGCGACAUAGACAAAAUUAAGAGUGGUCAGUUGAAUAUCCUUAGUCGAAAAAUUAUAUUGCAUAUAUACAAAUAAUACUGCAUAUAUUAGUUAAAUAUUAUUAAAUAUCAUUUGUUGCAUAACAAAUACUAGCAAAUAAUACACACAUGCAUAGAGUAUGUGUUGAUAAAGACAAAAAUAAUAAAUAGUUAUAUUGUAUGUAAAAUAAAAUAAAAAAUUGUGGAAAUUAAUUUUUUAAAUUUUUUUGUACUUUAGAAAUUUUUAUCCAUACACUAUUGAUUAGAGAUGUAUGGAUUCUAAAAACAUGAUGGUUCCUAUAUGAAUUGGGAGAAUCUCACAUAAUAAAUAUAAGAAAAUCAGAGAAUAUUAAAUAAAAUUUUCAAGUGCUAAAUAUUAUUACAUAAAUAAAGUUAAGAAAUUUAAAAAAAAAACUCCAUUUAAGUAUGUAAAUACUAUUUUUAAAAAAACAUUAUUACAUAAAUAAAGUUAAGAAAUUUAAAAAAAAAAACUCCAUUUAAGUAUGUAAAUACUAUUUUUAAAAAAAAUAACUUCUGUCAUACCAAACAAAUGCAUAUAAUAAAUUUUAAAAUUUUAAUGUACC
rnacentral:lncRNA from 1 species